AAAGAGAGAGAGAGCAGAGCAGAGCAUCGGGGAAAUGCUUCACCUGUUAAGAGCAGACGGAUGAAUUCAGUAUUAGUGUUGCCUCACAAUCUUCUGUGUUGUGUUUGGUCAAUUAAAACUACACAGACUAAUGAAACUGAGACUAAUAAAACAGGAUUGUUUGCCAUUUUGAGUGUACUCAACAAACUCUCAGGUAAUUACACAAAUGCAUGUUCAUUAACUAUGAGUGGGGAGAAGAUCUAAAAACUAUGCUUUAGUUCUCAGUCAUGUACAGAGAAGUCUACAACACUACGUUUUACCUCUGGGGGUAAGAGGGGGUCACAGCGCCACAGGUCAGCCUGUGAAGGCCUGGAAGUCGGACUCUGUAACGGCAGGGAGAAUGAGUCAGGUAAAAAGCCCAGGUAAAAACAAAAUCAUUAACAUAGUAAAUGCAAAUGAGGUUUACAAAUGCAACCCAUUAAUAGGAAUGAUGAAUGUGCCGGUAAUGACAAGAGUCACACUGAAUUACAUGCUUUUUUGUGAACAGUGUAUCACUAAGAAAAAUAAAAUGUAUUCAACCUAAUAUAGUAAUGUACGGCCUUUCAGCUGUAAAAA